rnacentral:rRNA from 1 species
GCGGCGUGCUUAACACAUGCAAGUCGAACGAUGACUUCUGUGCUUGCACAGAAUGAUUAGUGGCGAACGGGUGAGUAACACGUGAGUAACCUGCCCUUAACUUCGGGAUAAGCCUGGGAAACCGGGUCUAAUACCGGAUACGACCUCCUGGCGCAUGCCAUGGUGGUGGAAAGCUUUAGCGGUUUUGGAUGGACUCGCGGCCUAUCAGCUUGUUGGUUGGGGUAAUGGCCCACCAAGGCGACGACGGGUAGCCGGCCUGAGAGGGUGACCGGCCACACUGGGACUGAGACACGGCCCAGACUCCUACGGGAGGCAGCAGUGGGGAAUAUUGCACAAUGGGCGAAAGCCUGAUGCAGCGACGCCGCGUGAGGGAUGACGGCCUUCGGGUUGUAAACCUCUUUCAGCAGGGAAGAAGCGAAAGUGACGGUACCUGCAGAAGAAGCGCCGGCUAACUACGUGCCAGCAGCCGCGGUAAUACGUAGGGCGCAAGCGUUAUCCGGAAUUAUUGGGCGUAAAGAGCUCGUAGGCGGUUUGUCGCGUCUGCUGUGAAAGCCCGGGGCUCAACCCCGGGUCUGCAGUGGGUACGGGCAGACUAGAGUGCAGUAGGGGAGACUGGAAUUCCUGGUGUAGCGGUGAAAUGCGCAGAUAUCAGGAGGAACACCGAUGGCGAAGGCAGGUCUCUGGGCUGUAACUGACGCUGAGGAGCGAAAGCAUGGGGAGCGAACAGGAUUAGAUACCCUGGUAGUCCAUGCCGUAAACGUUGGGCACUAGGUGUGGGGGACAUUCCACGUUUUCCGCGCCGUAGCUAACGCAUUAAGUGCCCCGCCUGGGGAGUACGGCCGCAAGGCUAAAACUCAAAGGAAUUGACGGGGGCCCGCACAAGCGGCGGAGCAUGCGGAUUAAUUCGAUGCAACGCGAAGAACCUUACCAAGGCUUGACAUGAACCGGUAAGACCUGGAAACAGGUCCCCCAC